AAGACGUAAUAGGAAUAGUGGAUUUGGUUUAGCCGGGGAGUCAAAGGGUAAGGUGGAGUCAACUUCCCAUGCAAUACUUCCCUCUACUAAACUUUGCGGUGUCAAUUAUCUCAACCCUUUGGCCAUCACUACAUUCCUCCAUAUGUUGUCACAAUGGGAGAGAUGCAUAUUAUUUGAGUGUGAAUUGCUCCAGUAUGCAUAUUUCAUGUUAAAGCAUUGCAUAACACUUUAUUUGCAUGUACCCGUUUUUGAAGCUAACACGAAUUCCUCACUCUUCACUCUCCUAUUGCUCUUUUCUCUUGGAUCAUUGUUCAUCCCAUAAUAAAUCAUUUGCCUUUCUCAGAACCCUCCAUGCUCAUUUCAUCAAAUUGGGUUUUAACUCGUAUUCAUAUCUGGGUAAUCGCUGUUUUGAUCUAUACUGUGAGUUUGGCCAAAUCAAUGAUGCCGUUAAGGUGUUUGAUGAAAUUACUUAUAAGAAUUUGACAUCAUGGAACAUUUAUUUGAAGGGGUUUCUCAAAAGUGGCCACCUUGGGGAGGCAUGCCACUUGUUUGAUGUAAUGCCUGUCAGAGAUGUUGUUAGUUGGAACACGAUGAUUUCGGGUUUUGCACUAAAUGGGUUUUGUUGUCAAGCCUUUGAGCUUUUUGUUGAGAUGCAGGGUACUGGUGUGAGGCCAAGUGAGUUCACUUUCUCAAUAAUGACGUCAAUUGUGUCAAGUCCCUGUCAUGCUAAGCAGGUCCACAGUAGGAUGAUCAGGAGUGGUAUUGAUUUGUCCAAUGUGGUGCUUGCAAAUUCGGUGAUAGCUAUGUAUGGGAGACUUGGUCUUGUUGAUUAUUGCUUUGGUGUGAUUUUGACCAUGGAGAACUUUGAUGUUAUAUCUUGGAACUCUUUGAUAUGGGCCUGUUGUAGAGCUGGAUAUCCAGAGUUGUCUCUUGAGCAGUUUCAUCAGAUGAGAGCUAUGGAGUUUUUACCUGACCAGUUUACGUGUUCGAUAUUGAUGAGUGUCUGUUCUAACUUGCAGGAUUUGGGAAGGGGUAAGCAAGUUUUCACCCUUUGUUUCAAGUUGGGAUUUGUUUCAAAUAGCACUGUGUCAAGCGCUGCUAUUGCCCUCUUUUCCAGAUGCAACAGAUUGGAGGACUCCAUCCAGCUCUUCAAAGAACAAGAUCAAUGGGAUUCAGUUCUAUGCAAUUCCAUGAUUUCGAGCUACACGAAACAUGAUUUAGUGGAGGAUGCAUUGCAACUCUUUAUGCUGACCCUGAGGAAGAAUAUCAGACCAACAGAAUACAUGAUAAGUUGUCUUCUGAGUUCAGUUUCAAUUUUCAUGCCAGUUGAAGUAGGUAAUCAAAUCCAUUCUCUGGUUCCUAAAUUAGGUUUUGAGUCAGAAGUAGUUGUUGCCAGUUCUCUUGUUCAUAUGUAUGCAAAAUUUGGAUUUAUUGAUGAUGCCUUAAACAUCUUCAAUGAAAUGAAAAUAAAGGAUUUGGUGUCAUGGAAUACAAUAAUGAUGGGAAUGACUUACAAUGGCAAAGUGCCUGUAACCAUGAAGCUCUUUAAGGAGUUAAUUGGAGAACCUACACCACCAGAUAGAAUUACACUUGCUGCAGUUCUUCGAGCAUGCAACUAUGGAUGUUUAGUUGAUGAAGCAAUUAAAAUAUUAUUAUCAAUGGAGAAGGAAUUCGGCGUAGAACCUGGGGAAGAACAUUAUGCUUAUGCUGUGGAGUUGUUGAGUCAAGCUGGUAUGAUCAAAGAAGCGAUGGACAUUAUUGAAACAAUGCAAUGUAAAACCCCCUCCAACAUUUGGAGAUCAGUUCUUUCUGCAUGCGCAAUCCAUGAAGACUUGUGUGUUAUUGAAAGAGUUGCAGAGAGAAUAACAAAAAGCGAACCGCAGACAUUGUUUCCAUAUUUGGUGUUGGCUCAGGCUUAUCAGAUGAGGGGCAAAUGGGAGAGCUCAAUUCGAGCCAGGAAGGCUGUGGAACAAAGAGGUGCUAAAGAGUUCAUUGGAUACAGUUGUGUAGCGAUAAAAAAUCAGGUAUACUCGUUCGCAUCAAAUCAAUUACAGCAUUAUGGAGGCAGGGAUCUUUAUUUGAUUUUGAAUUUACUGCUCUGGGAGAUUGAGAAUGAAGGGUGUGCCUAGAAAAUCCGUAAGACAAAAAGGAAAUGUAAACAAACGGAUGAAAGUUUGCUGCAGCCCUUUCGAAAAAUAUUGAACUUUGGGUUUGGAAGUUAGUUGUAAACUGAACACCUAACUCAUACUCCCGUUCAUCACUAUUGGUAAAUAUGCCGUUCAUUAUGCAGCACUCAGCGGCUUAUUGCAAAAACUACUUAUCAGCUUGCCUUCUCCAAUCCUUGCAUUUUGAGUCUCCAAAAGCUGAGGUGGCACAAUUGGAGUUGCAGCAGUAUUUCAUCGACCAUGGUGAUGAACUGAUGAUAACCAGAAUGGAACAGAAGAGAUCCAUGAAUCAAGUUGCACGGGUCCUUUUGUUACCAACUUUGUAAAUUCCCAUUGUGCCAUUGUGGCAGUCUAAUGCUAGCUGACAUUGCGCUAAUGAUGUAAAACUCAAUUUAGCCAUUAUUUGGACUAAAUUGAAUGAUCUAACAUCUGUGAAAUUUAGUUUAUCGAGGAACCAAAUUAAGUUCCACACUUUUAAUGUUAUGUGAGCUAGAUGUUAAAUUGUCACAAUUUUCAUAUAAAUAUUCCGUUAACUAUUGUGAUGACAGAAAGAUCAUCUUGAUUCAUGGUUGUAAAACUCAGAUCAAUUGAGGAUUAUCACUUUUAAAAAGACUAAUUUCAUUUAUUGACUAUAUAAAAAUUUUUAUAUUAUUUUUAUUGAUGUAAGAAUAUUCAAUUAGAUACAUGUAUAAGAGUUUUUUCAUUUACACCAAACAGAAUGGGUUACGUGUAGAGAGACUAACAAGCAAUUAUUACAAGCAAGUAUUUAUGACCAAGAAGUUACAACUUACAACCAUAUCGAGUUCUUAAUUGAAUACUUGAUAAAUGAUAAUAAUCAUUGAACAAAAUAGGGGUGAAAUAAAGAAUAAAUAAAUCUUAAUAUUUCAACAAAUAUCAAAUGAACAAAAGAAUUGAAGACCUCUCCAAUAACUUAGGAUUGCCUAACAAUUCUGUAUACUCUAAAAUAAAAGAGAGAACUAACUAGUUUAAUUUACAUGCAAUCUGUUCCUGAUAACACUUAAGAUCGCUUCUUAUCAUAACUAUGAAGGGAUGGCGAUUGAGGACUCUUUGAAGAGGGGGAGGGUUCUCCUUCCGGCGGAAAAUCGGAGAGCAAAGCCAGCAUCUGCCGAAUGCUCACAGACCGUGCAGGUUUGAAGCUGUGGGUUCUCUUGAUGUUCUUGGAAAAGAUAUUUGAUGAAUUUGAAAGGAUAAGGUAUACCAAAGCCUGUACUAGGAAGAACACUGCCACCUUCAACAGGAUGUCACCUAAGCUGCUCUCCAUAGUUAUAAAAGAAAAUAGCACCCUUUGAUGAUUGAUUAAUGAAAUCUUUUGCUCUAAUAAUAAGAAAGAACACAAUUAAUGAAUUUAUGUAGAAAGGAUGGUAUGCAAGCGUCCUUAUAAAGGUUUUACGUAAUGUGUGGAAGGACAUGUUGGACCAACAUUUGGAUUUUGGAAAAGUAAACGAAUAGUUUGACCUGUUACCACGUUGAAAAUGUGGGAAUAUGGAGGCGGAAAUUUCAUUGUUAUCCAGAAACAAUUAAUGAAUACGUGUCAAGGGCACGGUGGUCAUUAAAGUAAAUUAUGAAAAUCCCGAUUAGGAGGAUAAUUGCUUGUCUGACGUAAAUGAAAGUCAGAAUGAAGUUUCCUAUUGAAACGUAAUGACUUGAUCAAUGGAGGUGAUGACUCAUCAGCUUGAUCUAGAUGCCUAAUUGAAUGAUUGAUUACCUCACGAUUAUUAAAUUGGUUUCUCCUACAAGCAAACAAAACUACUUUACAUAUUGGAUUACUAUAGCGGACAGAAUUUGACGCAUUCCGUUUUUGUAACGGUUAGAAACAAGAGACUAAACAGGAGAAAGGAGAAAUGAUUUGUGUAUUAUUGAGUGUAUUCAAGUUGUUUAUUUAAGUUAUUUGUGUAUUAUUGAGUGUAUUCAAGUUGU